GACGAACGCUGGCGGCGUGCUUAACACAUGCAAGUCGAACGGAAAGGCCCUGCUUUUGUGGUGUGCUCGAGUGGCGAACGGGUGAGUAACACGUGAGUAACCUGCCCUUGACUUUGGGAUAACUUCAGGAAACUGGGGCUAAUACCGGAUAGGAGCUCCUGCUGCAUGGUGGGGGUUGGAAAGUUUCGGCGGUUGGGGAUGGACUCGCGGCUUAUCAGCUUGUUGGUGGGGUAGUGGCUUACCAAGGCUUUGAAGGGUAGCCGGCCUGAGAGGGUGACCGGCCACAUUGGGACUGAGAUACGGCCCAGACUCCAACGGGAGGCAGCAGUGGGGAAGAUUGCACAAUGGGCGGAAGCCUGAUGCAGCAACGCCGCGUGCGGGAUGACGGCCUUCGGGUUGUAAACCGCUUUCGCCUGUGACGAAGCGUGAGUGACGGUAAUGGGUAAAGAAGCACCGGCUAACUACGUG
rnacentral:rRNA from 1 species